GCUCGCGGCCAUACCAGCCUGGGUACGCCCGAUCUCGUCUGAUCUCGGAAGCUAAGCAGGGUCGGGCCUGGUUAGUACUUGGAUGGGAGACCGCCUGGGAAUACCAGGUGCUGUAAGCA
rnacentral:rRNA from 1 species